UCUAUGCUAAUUGGGUGUUUUUAAACACCAUGGUGGAGUCAAAAAUGCAAAAAUAUUGAUUUUAUUAGUAGAAAAUAGGAGGGCCAGCAGCUAGUAUAGUCCUUGUGAGAAGGGAGGUGCACAAGUUCCAUAUGGAUUGUAGCACCUUGAAGGUAGUUAGGAGGAUAAGACUAUGGCCUUACGGCUUCUCUUAGACACCCAUAUAUACUACUUAUGAGUCUUGGUGAAGUUCAAACUCUUGAUCUCU
rnacentral:lncRNA from 1 species